AUAGCAACUCAACUACAAGAUCAUUUUAUUAACAUUACCACGGACUCCUUCUACUAAUUAACUCUAAUCAACAACAAUGCUUAGAUAAGUCUACCAAACCACAUCUAUAAAAAAGAAAACAUUAUUCAUAUAGUAUGCGUAGUUAAGUUACAGUUUAGCACUGACUCAAAAACAAUUACAAUUUAAGCACUCAUAAGGUUAAGAGAUUG
rnacentral:lncRNA from 1 species